rnacentral:RNase_P_RNA from 1 species
CGAAGGUGCUCAGGCGAUCGCCGGCGGGCUUGCCCGUCGGAGGAAAGUCCGAGCUCCACAGGGCGAGAUGCCAGGUAACGCCUGGUGGGGGUGACCCCGAGGAAAGUGCCACAGAGAGCAGACCGCCUCGCCGCUCGUCUGCGAGGUAAGGGUGAAAGGGUGAGGUAAGAGCUCACCGGGCCGCCGGUAACGGAGGUCGCACGGCAAACCCCAUCUGGAGCAAGACCAAAUAGGGGAGCGCAUGGGAUGGCCCGUCCCUGCUCCCGGGUAGGUCGCUCGAGGUCUUCGGCGACGGAGACCCUAGAUGAAUGAUCGCCACCCGCCAUCCGGUGACGGAAGCGGGGACAGAACUCGGCUUAUGAGCCCUUCGACCG